rnacentral:piRNA from 1 species
UGGGAACUGAGUUCAGGACUUCUGGAAGA